rnacentral:rRNA from 1 species
CCCUACGGGAGGCAGCAGUGAGGAAUAUUGGUCAAUGGUCGGGAGACUGAACCAGCCAAGCCGCGUGAGGGAUGAAGGUACAGAGUAUCGUAAACCUCUUUUGUCAGGGAACAAAGGCGGGGACGUGUCCCCGGAUGAGUGUACCUGAAGAAAAAGCAUCGGCUAACUCCGUGCCAGCAGCCGCGGUAAUACGGAGGAUGCGAGCGUUAUCCGGAUUUAUUGGGUUUAAAGGGGGCGCAGGAGGUCGGUUAAGUCAGCGGUCAAAGCCCGGGGGUCAAACACGGCCCGCCGUUGAAACUAG